UUUCAUGAGUCAUGAUACAGGAUCUUCAUCCUUACAUUUAUGUGUACAGAAGCCCAGACCUGGACAUAGCUUGAGCAGCGUCACACAGCUGAGAGCCCUGGUCUCAGAGCCACGCUGCAUCCUACUCCUGGUUUAGUGCUGUGUGGAGCAGUGUUGCAAAGACUAGAAAACCGUAAGGAGUGAAGGAGAGUCUCUGCUGACAGAGGAAAAGCCUACGGAUGCGCUUCACAUUGCAGCGUGUCGGCAUCCUCAAAACCAGCGCUGGUUUUCCUGAGGGAAAAACUGAACAUCGGAAAGAAGCUCUGCUUGGAGAACAGGCUCCUGAGGUUUCCAGAUGUCCUACAGCGUGACCUCUCAUCACUGCUUUCUGGAAGAGCAACACAAUACAGAAAUCAGGGAGUGGAGCGCAUUGCUGGGUUGCUGCCAAGAUGAGGAUGCUAUUAAAACUGCAUUUCAAGGUGGGAGACAAGAGAAUACUGGGCAGAAUAAGACACCUGCUUAUUACGUUGGAAGAUAUUUUCAAAUUCCCUUGCCGAGCAUAUUAUGAAUAAAGGCUUUUGAUAAAUUUCUCCAGCCUUAUUCAAGUAAAAAAUUGUUGUCUUCA
rnacentral:lncRNA from 1 species